GUUGGAAGAAUGAUGGUGAUGGUAGUCGAGAUCUUAGCGUAUGAUAUCUCUUUUAUAUCUAGAAACAACAUCAAGGAACAUGCUCUAGCACACUUUCUAUUUGAGUUUAGCAUGCAGACAGAAACAUAAACUACAUGCCUUGGACCUUAUCAGUAGACGGGUCUUCAAAUUUAAAAGGAAGUGGUGUCAGGAUUGUAUUAGAAGGACCUAGAAAUAUAUUGUAA
rnacentral:lncRNA from 1 species